UACGGAGGGUGCAAGCGUUGUCCGGAUUUAUUGGGUUUAAAGGGUACGUAGGUGGAUUUAUAAGUCAGUGGUGAAAUCCGGCGGCUCAACCGUCGACGUGCCAUUGAUACUGUAGAUCUUGAGUACGACUGAGGUGGUUGGAAUGCGUAGUGUAGCGGUGAAAUGCUUAGAUAUUACGCAGAACACCAAUUGCGAAGGCAGAUCACUAAGUCGUAACUGACACUGAUGUACGAAAGCGUGGGGAGCAAACAGG
rnacentral:rRNA from 1 species